GACGAACGCUGGCGGCGUGCUUAACACAUGCAAGUCGAACGGUGAAGCGAGUGCUUGCACUCGUGGAUCAGCGGCGAACGGGUGAGUAACACGUGAGUAACCUGCCCAUCACUCUGGGAUAAGCACUGGAAACGGUGCCUAAUACUGGAUACGACCAACCCUUGCAUGGGGUGUUGGUGGAAAGAUUUAUCGGUGAUGGAUGGACUCGCGGCCUAUCAGCUUGUUGGCGGGGUAAUGGCCCACCAAGGCGACGACGGGUAGCCGGCCUGAGAGGGUGACCGGCCACACUGGGACUGAGACACGGCCCAGACUCCUACGGGAGGCAGCAGUGGGGAAUAUUGCACAAUGGGCGAAAGCCUGAUGCAGCGACGCCGCGUGAGGGAUGGCGGCCUUCGGGUUGUAAACCUCUUUCAGCAGGGAAGAAGCGAAAGUGACGGUACCUGCAGAAGAAGCACCGGCUAACUACGUG
rnacentral:rRNA from 1 species